UACAGAGGUCUCAAGCGUUGUUCGGAUUCAUUGGGCGUAAAGGGCGCGUAGGUGGCGGGGUUAGUCAGGUGUGAAAUCUCGGGGCUCAACCCCGAAACUGCACUUGAUACUGCCUUGCUAGAGUACUGGAGAGGAGAUUGGAAUUUACGGUGUAGCAGUGAAAUGCGUAGAUAUCGUAAGGAAGACCAGUGGCGAAGGCGAAUCUCUGGACAGUUACUGACACUGAGGCACGAAGGCCAGGGGAGCAAACGGG
rnacentral:rRNA from 1 species